rnacentral:rRNA from 1 species
UAAGGAAUAUUGGUCAAUGGACGCAAGUCUGAACCAGCCAUGCCGCGUGAAGGAUGAAGGUCCUCUGGAUUGUAAACUUCUUUUAUCUGGGACGAAAACGGGAUUUUUAUCUCAAUUGACGGUACCAGAGGAAUAAGCACCGGCUAACUCCGUGCCAGCAGCCGCGGUAAUACGGAGGGUGCAAGCGUUAUCCGGAUUCACUGGGUUUAAAGGGUGCGUAGGUGGGCAGGUAAGUCAGUGGUGAAAUCUCCGGGCUUAACCCGGAAACUGCCGUUGAUACUAGUUGUCUUGAAUAUUGUGGAGGUGAGCGGAAUAUGACAUGUAGCGGUGAAAUGCUUAGAUAUGACAUAGAACACCAAUUGCGAAGGCAGCUUACUACACAAUCAUUGACGCUGAGGCACGAAAGCGUGGGGAUCAAACA